rnacentral:rRNA from 1 species
ACGGAGGGUGCAAGCGUUAUCCGGAAUCAUUGGGUUUAAAGGGUCCGCAGGCGGACAAGCAAGUCAGUGGUGAAAUCCCAUCGCUUAACGAUGGAACUGCCAUUGAAACUGUUUGUCUUGAAUUCGGUCGAAGUGGGCGGAAUGUGUCAUGUAGCGGUGAAAUGCAUAGAUAUGACACAGAACACCGAUAGCGAAGGCAGCUCACUAGGUCUGAAUUGACGCUCAGGGACGAAAGCGUGGGGAGCGAACAGG